GACGAACCGUGCGAACGUUGUUCGGAAUCACUGGGCUUAAAGGGCGCGUAGGCGGUUGGUCAAGUCAGGGGUGAAAUCUUUCGGCUCAACCGGAAAACUGCCUUUGAUACUGACUGGCUGGAGGGAGAUAGGGGUUGCGGGAACUACCAGUGGAGCGGUGAAAUGCGUUGAUAUUGGUAGGAACGCCGGUGGCGAAAGCGCGCAACUGGAUCUCUUCUGACGCUGAGGCGCGAAAGCUAGGGGAGCAAACGGGAUUAGAUACCCCGGUAGUCCUAGCCUUAAACGAUGAGAACUAGGUUGUGGACUUGACAUGGGUUCACAGCCGAAGCAAAAGUGCUAAGUUCUCCGCCUGGGGAGUAUGGUCGCAAGGCUGAA
rnacentral:rRNA from 1 species